UUUGUUAUUUAAUAUGAAAGCUGUUGUUCAGGGAACUUACAUGAAGUCCUGAUUAUCAUAACAAAGGUUUUCCUGUGACUACUAAGGCCUAUGUCUGCUGUGGGGACAAUAAAACUGAUUUUGUAUGCGAGAAAACUUGUUCAACAGAAUGUAGGCAAGUUGGGGGUUUAUCACAGCAUCUUGGCAGUUGGGAGGGUUUUCUGUGGGGGCAGGUGAGAAACCAGGAAAAAAGAACGCUGGACAAAUGUGAGGGGAGCUGGGCAACUGAGAGGAGGCAGCUAGAGAGCUGGAGAAGCCGGGGACAAGAGAACAUGUGAGGAAUGAAGACCAGAGGAGAAGACAGAGAUGAAGCUGAACUAUAUUCCCCUACCUUUUUGUGCUGCAAUAAUUAUCCCAAAUUUAUUUUCAACACCUGGGAAAAAGAUAUUAUAGAAACUCACCACAGUGACAGCAUCAUUAAGCAAUGACUCCCCGAACACCAGAAUGUGGAGCAGCUCAUUGAUGUGGAUCUCCUCAAAAACUGCCAGAACAGCCACUGGGUCCACUGCUGAAAUUAUACUGCCGAAGAGCAAGUUGGCCAGGAGGCCCACACUCCUAAGGUCCUCCCCACCAAUCUGGCACACACCAAACAGAAGUGAGCCUAAAAAGAAGGCAUUCCAGAGUGUACCUACCACUGCGAACAUCAAGAUAGUUCCCAAAUUCUCAGAGAAAGGGCGCAGUGGUAAGAAGUACCCAGCAUCCAGGAUAAUUGGGGGCAGCAGAAACAGGAAGAACACAUCAGAUUUUAAUACAGGUGGCGUUUCUCCAACUGCCUUGAUAAGACCACCCACAAGAAGGCCCACAACGAUCAACAAGCAGCUCUCAGGGACCACGCUGGAUAAUGUGGGGAUCACAUGGAACCCUGGGAAAAAGAGAAAAAGGAAAGGAUUCACUAAACAUGGUUUCUAGAAGGAUAGAUCAAUAGCACUUCCACUAUAGUUUGAGUCUAAACUAUCCAUCUUCAUUUCAGGUUUCUGACCAACCUUGGAAGAGGUCACUUCCCUGUUUGAUAGACUUUAUUUUCUGAGACAUAAUAUUGUUAUUUAUUAGGGAUGCACCGAACCCACUAUUUUGGAUUCGGCCGAACCCCUGAAUCCUUUGUGAAAGAUUUGGCUGAAUACUGAACCGUAUCCGAACCCUAAGGAAGAAGGAUUCAGGCGAAUCCGAAUCCUGACCGAAUCCCAAAUUCGGUGCAUCCCUAUUAUUUAUAUAUUGCAAUUAACACAUAAAAAAACAGAAGAUCUGAUGUAUUAAAGGGCCCUGUUUUAUUUACAAAUUUUAUUACCGGUAAUCAGCCUUUUCACAUUCACAAAUGUUCACUAGUUCUGCUUAGAAAAACAUAAUUGUACAUUUUAAUUUGUAUUAUUUUUCCCCCAAACACAGACAUGUGUUUAGGUUUACUGUUAAUUCCAUUGCGCAUUUAUUUUAUUUGGUGAUUUUAUUGCAUUUAUGCAUACUGGGUAACUGUUUAUAAGACCGCUGACAUAUAUGGGUGUACAAAAAUUUCCACUAAACUUUCAUUUCUACAUUUGA